AUUGAACGCUGGCGGCAGGCCUAACACACGCAAGUCGAGCGGCAGCGGGGGGAAGCUUGCUUUCCCGCCGGCGAGCGGCGGACGGGUGAGUAAUGUCUGGGAAACUGCCUGAUGGAGGGGGAUAACUACUGGAAACGGUAGCUAAUACCGCAUAACGUCUUCGGACCAAAGUGGGGGACCUUCGGGCCUCAUGCCAUCAGAUGUGCCCAGAUGGGAUUAGCUAGUAGGUGGGGUAACGGCUCACCUAGGCGACGAUCCCUAGCUGGUCUGAGAGGAUGACCAGCAACACUGGAACUGAGACACGGUCCAGACUCCUACGGGAGGCAGCAGUGGGGAAUAUUGAACACUGGGCGCAAGCCUGAUGCAGCCAUGCCGCGUGUAUGAAGAAGGCCUUCGGGUUGUAAAGUACUUUCAGCGGGGAGGAAGGUGUUGUGGUUAAUAACCACGGCAAUUGACGUUACCCGCAGAAGAAGCACCGGCUAACUCCGUGCCAGCCGCCGCGGUAAGAC
rnacentral:rRNA from 1 species